rnacentral:rRNA from 1 species
CCUACGGGCGGCUGCAGUGGGGAAUUUUGCUCAAUGGGGGAAACCCUGAAGCAGCAACGCCGCGUGAGGGAUGAAGGCCUUCGGGUUGUAAACCUCUUUUGUCAGGGACGAUGAUGACGGUACCUGGCGAAUAAGCCACGGCUAACUACGUGCCAGCAGCCGCGGUAAUACGUAGGUGGCAAGCGUUGUCCGGAUUUACUGGGCGUAAAGAGCGCGCAGGCGGUCUUGUAAGUCGAGUGUGAAAGCCCCUGGCUCAACCAGGGAGGGUCAUUCGAUACUGCUUGACUCGAAGGCAGGAGAGGGAAGUGGAAUUCCGGGUGUAGUGGUGAAAUGCGUAGAUAUCCGGAGGAACACCAGUGGCGAAGGCGACUUUCUGGCCUGUUCUUGACGCUGAGGCGCGAAAGCUAGGGGAGCAAACGGGCUUAGAUACCCGUGUAGUC